rnacentral:rRNA from 1 species
UUGGUUAAGUCCCGCAACGAGACGCAACCCCUACUUGUUAGUUGCCAUCAUUCAGUUGGGCACUCUAGCGAGACUGCCGGUAAUAAACCGGAGGAAGGUGGGGAUGACGUCAAAUCAUCAUGCCCCUUAUGACCUGGGCUACACACGUGCUACAAUGGUUGGUACAACGAGUUGCGAGUCGGUGACGGCGAGCUAAUCUCUUAAAGCCAAUCUCAGUUCGGAUUGUAGGCUGCAACUCGCCUACAUGAAGUCGGAAUCGCUAGUAAUCGCGGAUCAGCACGCCGCGGUGAAUACGUUCCCGGGCCUU